UGUGUCACAUGUAGUAAAAUGAAACUUACUUUUCAACUAACUCAACUAAACUCGUUAACUCCACUUCAAGAUUCCCAGAACCACAACAGACACCUCUGGACCUAACACCCACUUCCACAUUAUCCAGUUAUUCGAAUUCCUGAAACAUCAAUGACUCCAAUGUGAAGUAGGUACCCUUACUAUUUCCAUUUCGAAGAUGAAGAAACUGAGCACAAGGAGCAAGAUUACUUCCCAAGGACCACACAACUAGUAUGCAACACAACUUGG